rnacentral:siRNA from 1 species
UAGAGUGUGGGCUUCCAACCUA